rnacentral:rRNA from 1 species
ACUCCUACGGGAGGCAGCAGUGGGGAAUUUUGCGCAAUGGGGGAAACCCCGACGCAGCAACGCCGCGUGAGUGAUGAAGGCCCUUGGGUCGUAAAGCUCUGACAGAGGGAAAGAAGUGUAGAGUGGCUAAUAUCCACAUUACUUGACGGUACCCUCAAAGGAAGCACCGGCUAACUCCGUGCCAGCAGCCGCGGUAAUACGGGGGGUGCAAGCGUUGUUCGGAUUUAUUGGGCGUAAAGCGCGUGUAGGCGGUUUUAUAAGUCUGAUGUGAAAGCCCUGGGCUCAACCCGGGAAGUGCAUUGGAUACUGUAAGACUUGAAUACGGGAGAGGGUAGUGGAAUUCCUAGUGUAGGAGUGAAAUCCGUAGAUAUUAGGAGGAACACCGGUGGCGAAGGCGGCUACCUGGACCGAUAUUGACGCUGAGACGCGAAAGCGUGGGUAGCAAACAGGAUUAGAUACCCUGGUAGUCCACGCCGUAAACGAUGAGAACUAGGUGUUGCGGGUA